rnacentral:rRNA from 1 species
UGACGGGCCCGCACAAGCAGCGGAGCGUGUGGUUUAAUUCGAUGAUACACGAAGAACCUUACCAGGGUUUGACAUGCUAGUGGUAGGGAUCCGAAAGGUGACCGACCCUCGGGGAGCUAGCACAGGUGCUGCAUGGCUGUCGUCAGCUCGUGUCGUGAGAUGUUCGGUUAAGUCCGCUAACGAGCGCAACCCUUGCUGUGUGUUACAUGUGUCACACGGGACUGCCGGUCUUAAACCGGAGGAAGGUGGGAUGACGUCAAGUCAGCAUGGCCUUUAUGUCCUGGGCUACACACACGCUACAAUGGCCGGUACAAUAGGUUGCGAAGCCGCGAGGCGGAGCCAAUCCUCAAAGCCGGCCUCAGUUCAGAUUGCAGGCUGCAACCCGCCUGCAUGAAGAUGGAGUUGCUAGUAACCGCAGGUCAGCUAUACUGCGGUGAAUACGUUCCCGGGGCUU